rnacentral:rRNA from 1 species
GGGUUGUGAGGUUAAGCGACUAAGCGUACACGGUGGAUGCCCUGGCAGUCAGAGGCGAUGAAGGACGUGCUAAUCUGCGAAAAGCGUCGGUAAGGUGAUAUGAACCGUUACAGCCGGCGAUGUCCGAAUGGGGAAACCCAGUGCAAUUCGUUGCACUAUCGUUAACUGAAUACAUAGGUUAACGAGGCGAACCGGGGGAACUGAAACAUCUAAGUACCCCGAGGAAAAGAAAUCAACCGAGAUUCCCCCAGUAGCGGCGAGCGAACGGGGAGCAGCCCAGAGUCUGAAUCAGCUUGUGUGUUAGUGGAACGGUCUGGAAAGUCCGACGGUACAGGGUGAUAGUCCCGUACACCAAAAUGCACAGGUUGUGAACUCGAAGAGUAGGGCGGGACACGUGGUAUCCUGUCUGAAUAUGGGGGGACCAUCCUCCAAGGCUAAAUACUCCUGACUGACCGAUAGUGAACCAGUACCGUGAGGGAAAGGCGAAAAGAACCCCGGCGAGGGGAGUGAAAAAGAACCUGAAACCGUGUACGUACAAGCAGUGGGAGCACCUUCGGGUGUGACUGCGUACCUUUUGUAUAAUGGGUCAGCGACUUAUAUUCUGUAGCAAGGUUAACCGUAUAGGGGAGCCGCAGGGAAACCGAGUCUUAACUGGGCGUUAAGUUGCAGGGUAUAGACCCGAAACCCGGUGAUCUAGCCAUGGGCAGGUUGAAGGUUGGGUAACACUAACUGGAGGACCGAACCGACUAAUGUUGAAAAAUUAGCGGAUGACUUGUGGCUGGGGGUGAAAGGCCAAUCAAACCGGGAGAUAGCUGGUUCUCCCCGAAAGCUAUUUAGGUAGCGCCUCGUGAACUCAUCUUCGGGGGUAGAGCACUGUUUCGGCUAGGGGGUCAUCCCGACUUACCAACCCGAUGCAAACUACGAAUACCGAAGAAUGUUAUCACGGGAGACACACGGCGGGUGCUAACGUCCGUCGUGAAGAGGGAAACAACCCAGACCGCCAGCUAAGGUCCCAAAGUCAUGGUUAAGUGGGAAACGAUGUGGGAAGGCACAGACAGCCAGGAUGUUGGCUUAGAAGCAGCCAUCAUUUAAAGAAAGCGUAAUAGCUCACUGGUCGAGUCGGCCUGCGCGGAAGAUGUAACGGGGCUAAACCAUGCACCGAAGCUGCGGCAGCGACACUAUGUGUUGUUGGGUAGGGGAGCGUUCUGUAAGCCUGCGAAGGUGACCUGUGAGGGUUGCUGGAGGUAUCAGAAGUGCGAAUGCUGACAUAAGUAACGAUAAAGCGGGUGAAAAGCCCGCUCGCCGGAAGACCAAGGGUUCCUGUCCAACGUUAAUCGGGGCAGGGUGAGUCGACCCCUAAGGCGAGGCCGAAAGGCGUAGUCGAUGGGAAACAGGUUAAUAUUCCUGUACUUGGUGUUACUGCGAAGGGGGGACGGAGAAGGCUAUGUUAGCCGGGCGACGGUUGUCCCGGUUUAAGCAUGUAGGCUGAUUAUCCAGGCAAAUCCGGAUAAUCAAGGCUGAGGUGUGAUGACGAGGCACUACGGUGCUGAAGUAACAAAUGCCCUGCUUCCAGGAAAAGCCUCUAAGCAUCAGGUAACAUCAAAUCGUACCCCAAACCGACACAGGUGGUCAGGUAGAGAAUACCAAGGCGCUUGAGAGAACUCGGGUGAAGGAACUAGGCAAAAUGGUGCCGUAACUUCGGGAGAAGGCACGCUGGUGUGUAGGUGAAGUCCCUGCGGAUGGAGCUGAGACCAGUCGAAGAUACCAGCUGGCUGCAACUGUUUAUUAAAAACACAGCACUGUGCAAACACGAAAGUGGACGUAUACGGUGUGACGCCUGCCCGGUGCCGGAAGGUUAAUUGAUGGGGUUAUCCGUAAGGAGAAGCUCUUGAUCGAAGCCCCGGUAAACGGCGGCCGUAACUAUAACGGUCCUAAGGUAGCGAAAUUCCUUGUCGGGUAAGUUCCGACCUGCACGAAUGGCGUAAUGAUGGCCAGGCUGUCUCCACCCGAGACUCAGUGAAAUUGAACUCGCUGUGAAGAUGCAGUGUACCCGCGGCAAGACGGAAAGACCCCGUGAACCUUUACUAUAGCUUGACACUGAACAUUGAGCCUUGAUGUGUAGGAUAGGUGGGAGGCUUUGAAGCGUGGACGCCAGUCUGCGUGGAGCCAACCUUGAAAUACCACCCUUUAAUGUUUGAUGUUCUAACGUGGGCCCCUGACCGGGGUUGCGGACAGUGUCUGGUGGGUAGUUUGACUGGGGCGGUCUCCUCCCAAAGCGUAACGGAGGAGCACGAAGGUUAGCUAAUCCUGGUCGGACAUCAGGAGGUUAGUGCAAUGGCAUAAGCUAGCUUGACUGCGAGCGUGACGGCGCGAGCAGGUGCGAAAGCAGGUCAUAGUGAUCCGGUGGUUCUGAAUGGAAGGGCCAUCGCUCAACGGAUAAAAGGUACUCCGGGGAUAACAGGCUGAUACCGCCCAAGAGUUCAUAUCGACGGCGGUGUUUGGCACCUCGAUGUCGGCUCAUCACAUCCUGGGGCUGAAGUAGGUCCCAAGGGUAUGGCUGUUCGCCAUUUAAAGUGGUACGCGAGCUGGGUUUAGAACGUCGUGAGACAGUUCGGUCCCUAUCUGCCGUGGGCGCUGGAGAAUUGAGGGGGGCUGCUCCUAGUACGAGAGGACCGGAGUGGACGCAUCACUGGUGUUCGGGUUGUCAUGCCAAUGGCACUGCCCGGUAGCUAAAUGCGGAAGAGAUAAGUGCUGAAAGCAUCUAAGCACGAAACUUGCCCCGAGAUGAGUUCUCCCUGAGACUUUAAGUCUCCUGAAGGAACGUUGAAGACGACGACGUUGAUAGGCCGGGUGUGUAAGCGCAGCGAUGCGUUGAGCUAACCGGUACUAAUGAACCGUGAGGCUUAACCUUACAACGCCGAAG